rnacentral:rRNA from 1 species
UACGUAGGGUGCAAGCGUUAAUCGGAAUUACUGGGCGUAAAGCGUGCGCAGGCGGUUGUGCAAGACAGAUGUGAAAUCCCCGGGCUUAACCUGGGAAUUGCAUUUGUGACUGUACGGCUAGAGUGUGUCAGAGGGGGGUAGAAUUCCACGUGUAGCAGUGAAAUGCGUAGAGAUGUGGAGGAAUACCGAUGGGCGAAGGCAGCCCCCUGGGAUAACACUGACGCUCAUGCACGAAAGCGUGGGGAGCAAACAGG